CAACAUCAUGACUUUCAUGCCAAUUCAUAGUGCAACAUCAUCAUCAUCGUUUAAAGGUGUCAAAAUACAGCAUUAUCCUAUGUGAGGUGUAGUGAAAACGUUUAUCACAAUUUUCAACAGAAUCACAACCUGGUCUUACGCGAUGCCCUUGUCCUCAGGAAACGCUCACAAAGUUCAUGCAAACAAGGUAAACAUGGACACCCAAUCCCAAAACAUCACCACAUUUCUGAACAAUGCCGAAUCCCGACUCUUCCCGUCAACCCCACCGCUCCAAAACUCGUCCCUCAUCUUCAUCGGUUCGAUCCAAGCCUCGCCCUAAAGACAGAGUUCCGCUCACCAAGCUACUCCGAGUAGCGUCAGUUGCCGGUGGGAUUCAGUUCGGAUGGGCUUUGCAGUUAUCUCUUCUAACGCCCUAUGUUCAGCAGCUCGGAAUCCCGCAUGCGUGGGCCAGUAUUAUAUGGCUCUGCGGCCCGCUUUCGGGGCUUAUCGUUCAGCCGUUGGUUGGCCAUUUGAGUGAUCGCUGCACCAGUCGAUUCGGCCGGAGGAGACCGUUUAUCUUAGGCGGAGCUAUUUCGAUUGCUUUGUCUGUUCUCAUCAUUGGUCACGCUGCGGAUUUGGGAUGGAAGUUUGGUGAUACCAAGGAACAUCGGCGGUCCGCCGUCGCCUUUUUCGUGUUCGGGUUUUGGAUUUUGGAUGUUGCUAAUAAUGUCACUCAAGGUCCUUGUAGAGCAUUGCUCGGUGAUCUCACCGGUAAGGAUCAUCGAAGGACACGAGUCGCAAAUGCUUAUUUUUCCCUAUUUAUGGCUAUCGGUAACAUUCUUGGAUAUGCAACUGGAUCAUACAGUGGUUGGUACAGGGUCUUUCCUUUCACACUUACCCCUGCAUGCAAUAUUAGUUGUGCAAAUCUCAAGUCUGCUUUCUUUCUGGACAUUGUUUUCAUGCUCAUCACCACCUAUAUCAGUAUCACGUCAGCUAAUGAAGUGCCUCUUGGGUCAAGUGGGGAACCCGAUGCUGAAGCAGAAGGGGAGUCAGGUGGUAGUGCGGAAGAAGCUUUUUUAUGGGAACUAUUUGGGACAUUCAAAUAUUUUUCAAAGCCUAUAUGGAUAGUAUUGUCUGUUACUGCUCUAACAUGGGUUGGAUGGUUCCCAUUUCUUCUAUUCGAUACUGAUUGGAUGGGCCGAGAAAUUUAUGGCGGUGAGCCAAAUGAAGGCACUAAUUAUGAUUCCGGAGUUAGAAUGGGGGCACUUGGUUUAUUGCUUAAUUCAGUUGUUCUUGGAGUAACAUCAUUACUCAUGGAGAAGCUAUGCAGGAAGCGGGGGGCUGGGUUUGUGUGGGGAAUCGCAAAUAUCCUAAUGGCAGUCUGCUUUAUAGCAAUGCUUGUUUUAACCUAUGUGGCAAAUGACAUUGGUUAUUUAGGAAAAGAUCUACCACCCACUAGCAUCGUGAUAGCUGCACUGACAAUCUUUACCGUUCUCGGGUUUCCAUUGGCAAUCACUUACAGUGUUCCAUAUGCCUUAAUUUCCACACAUAUUCAGCCAUUGGGGCUCGGCCAAGGAUUGUCAAUGGGAGUUCUAAAUCUUGCAAUAGUGUUCCCACAGAUGAUAGUGUCCUUAGGAAGUGGACCAUGGGAUCAGUUAUUUGGCGGAGGAAACUCUCCGGCGUUUGCUGUGGCAGCUAUUGCAGCUCUUGUCAGUGGAGGCAUAGCUGUCUUUGCUAUUCCCCGAACUGGUUCUCAAAAGCCUAGAAACCCAGUAUGAGGUAUCAUGUUCGAUCUGCUUUUGCCACCGAUUUCUUUUGAAGAUGGAUUAUGAAAUUGAACAGAUUUUACUACUUUCUCAUGUCAAUGGAGAAAAUCUCUUUUCUGGCGGAAGCAUCCAACCUCAUUUUAGCUGUGGAAAAGAUUUAGCUGGAGGGUACACAAUAAGCGAAUCUGUGGGAGCUACCAGAGGAGCAUUAUUGUUGCUAGUGCCAAUUUUUACCGUCUUUUCUGCAAUAGGAUGACCUGUUUUAAGAUACAUUAUAUAUUUGACAAAUAUACUUUUUUUAGAUAGACCACCACAGUAAAUCCGAACUCCAUGAUUACAUGAUCUCGAGUUUUUAUCUGUUUAUAAAAAAAAUUGAAUCAAAUCCUUUGGGUGGGAUAUAUCUGGAACAUCCUGAGCAGCAUUUCGAGACGGGUUAUUUUCGAAUUGAUAUAGUAGUAUUAUUAAUCCAUUCAUUGGAACAAGAGUUUGUUUAAAAAUUGUCCAUUGUCAGAACUUGUGAUGCUCUGGUUUAUUUUCAGAGCAUUGGGUUCCCCUGUAUGAUACAUAUCUUUCAUUUA